AGUGAACGCUGGCGGUAGGCCUAACACAUGCAAGUCGAACGGCAGCACAGUAAGAGCUUGCUCUUACGGGUGGCGAGUGGCGGACGGGUGAGGUAUACAUCGGAAUCUACUUUUUCGUGGGGGAUAACGUAGGGAAACUUACGCUAAUACCGCAUACGACCUACGGGUGAAAGCAGGGGAUCUUCGGACCUUGCGCGAUUGAAUGAGCCGAUGUCGGAUUAGCUAGUUGGCGGGGUAAGGGCCCACCAAGGCGACGAUCCGUAGCUGGUCUGAGAGGAUGAUCAGCCACACUGGAACUGAGACACGGUCCAGACUCCUACGGGAGGCAGCAGUGGGGAAUAUUGGACAAUGGGCGCAAGCCUGAUCCAGCCAUACCGCGUGGGUGAAGAAGGCCUUCGGGUUGUAAAGCCCUUUUGUUGGGAAAGAAAAGCAGCAGGUUAAUACCCCGCUGUUCUGACGGUACCCAAAGAAUAAGCACCGGCUAACUUCGUG
rnacentral:rRNA from 1 species